UGCAUCGGCUGGGAAUCGAACCCUGGCCGCCCGCGUGGCAGGCGAGCAUUCUACCACUGAACCACCGAUGC
rnacentral:tRNA from 1 species